UAACGUAGGGGGCAAGCGUUGGUCCGGAAUCAUUGGGCGUAAAGAGGCGCGAGUAGGCGGUCCGGUAAUCGGUUGUGAAAACUGGGGCUCAACCCUCAGAGGCCGACCGAUACUGUCGGCUAGAGUCCGGAAGAGGCGAGUGGAAUUCCUGGUGUAGCGGUGAAAUGCGCAGAUAUCAGGAGGAACACCAAUGGCGAAGGCAGCUCGCUGGGACGGUACUGACGCUGAGGCGCGAAAGCGUGGGGAGCAAACAGG
rnacentral:rRNA from 1 species